rnacentral:lncRNA from 1 species
AAGGUGCUCUGCUGCCUGCCGGACCUCUGCGCAAGUGCCUUCGGGCCGAUGCAGACGCCCACUGCGCCACUUCCCCCGGGCUCCGGGGACCCCCUCCAUCCGCCCGGCCUAGCCCUGGAGGCGCGACGCCCCGUCGUGUACCGUCUGGAGGAGGUGGCGCGCUGCCUGCACCUCCUGGAGCUCUCCAGCUCCGAGGGUCCCCGCUGCAGGCCCGGAGUGUCUGCCGGCCUCCAGGUGCACAGGCUCCAGAGCGCCCCGCAGGGGACUCCGGGAGGCGCCUCUGCCUCCGAUUCCCCUAGAGGGGACCGGCCAGUCCCAAGGUCCAACAGGAAGAAGGCAGAAAACCCCAUCCGAAAAGGCCGGAUUCUCAGAACUGGCAAUGUACCUCCAAGAUGGCCCCAACAACCCAUGUCUUCUUGUACUCAUGCCUGCUAUGCACCAAAUGCUUGUGUGUCUUCUCAUUGAAGCCCUAACCCCUAAUGUGGUGGAUUUGGAGGUAAUUGGGUUUGAGGAGGUCAUAAGGAUAGAGUCCCCAUGAUGGAAUUAGUUUCCUUGUAAGAGGCUGAAGAGGCCAGAGCUCACUCUCUCCACCAUGUGAGGACAAAAUGAGAAGGCGGCCAUCUGUACACCAGGAAGAGGUCCCUCACCAGAACCCAACCAUGCUGGCACCUUGAUCUCAAACUUCCAUGUUCCAAAGCUGGGAGCAAUAAAUUCCUGUUGUUUAAGCCAUUCAGCCUG